UAUGUACCUAGGUAAUUUUUUUCGGUAUCUUUUACCUUACCUAGGUAAAAAAAUAUUUGGCUACCUUUUACCUUACCUAGGUACGAAUUUUCGUUUACCUUAAGUUUUAGCUAUGUAAGGUAUUUAGGUACUUCCAUACGUGUAUGUAAAUAUUGUGCAUAUUAGAAAUAGCCCUGCUUCACAGCAAUGCAAUCGAAAACUUAGAAAUAUGAUAGUUCCACCACUUACUCACAGAGGUCUUUAUGUGCACUUUUGUCGAUGACAUUGGUUCCUAGAAAACGUCACAACAAAUCUUAAAAUGAGCAAAGAAGACGCAGAAAAAAAGGAGCUACCAUUAAUUUUAAAUGGUACUUUCUUUUUACCGGACGGGAAGUGCAAACUGUGUGUGAACAAAACUAUCAAAUUUGAUGAAAAGUCAACCGGCAACUUGCAUAAACAUCUGAAGAGGGUUCACCCGAACAGUUAUUCUUCGCAUGAAGCUUUGAAAGCGAAAAAUUCAAAAAUAGAAGUGAAAAUUUCCGGUGAUCUCAAAAAAAGAAACCAAUGUGACUUAUGUUUAUAUCUUUGUAUCUCAGAAAAAGAAACUGAUAAUAAAAAUUUCAAAUUUAAAAAA